UGGGGAAUUUUGCACAAUGGGGGAAACCCUGAUGCAGCGACGCCGCGUGAUUUAGAAGGCCUUCGGGUUGUAAAAAUCUUUUUUACGGGAUGAAAAUGACAGUACCGUGAGAAUAAGGUCCGGCUAAAUACGUGCCAGCAGCCGCGGUAAUACGUAUGGACCGAGCGUUGUCCGGAAUCAUUGGGCGUAAAGGGUACGUAGGCGGCCUAGUAAGUUAGAAGUGAAAUAAUAUAGCUCAACUAUAUAAAGCUUUUAAAACUGCUAGGCUUGAGAGAUGGAAGGGAAAGUGGAAUUCCUAGUGUAGCGGUGAAAUGCGCAGAUAUUAGGAAGAAUACCGGUGGCGAAGGCGACUUUCUGGUCAUCAUCUGACGCUGAGGUACGAAAGCGUGGGUAGCAAACAGG
rnacentral:rRNA from 1 species